rnacentral:lncRNA from 1 species
GGCUUUUAUUGGAGAGAUUAGCUCAGAGAAUUUGCUGAUACUGUACGUGACGCAGCUAAUUUUCCGACCGAGCGCGACAGCUGUCACCACGGGGUCGAGGACGGUCCGGUGGUUGCAGACCAAGAGGUGGCCUGGUUGGCCGGGUUUAGGUGGCGGAGGAGGGUUGCCGUUGACGACUAGUUUGAUCCCUGUGAGCUUGUAGUUGUAACGGGCGAUGCGUUCCGGUAACGGAAUAUUCGUGUAGACGCGGAUGAGAGAGACUAGAAAACCGACGGGAAGCCAGAGGAGAGUUAACAAUGCAACUAACGGAGUUGGUCGUUGGACUAAUCUGCCCUCGUGGAAUAUUAUAGGGUUUAAGAGUUUAUUUCUUGGUAAUGGUUCGCAUUUUGUACGUGGCACCAUGUAACCCUCCUGCAGUCAAUUAAAAAAAUUGUUAUAUUAACUGAAGCUGAAAAGUACUUGUGAUUUGUACGUAAUUGUCUGGUAGCAUGCACUUUUGAUUUUUUUGGGGUCGAAUUAUAUAAUGCGAUACCAUAGUACUCAUGAGAGAGACAUAUGUACUAUCAAAAUUAUUAGUGAUUAGAAAAAACAUGCAUGUAAUACAUCUUACAUGUGUAAGUAAUUUAUAUAAUUACCUAGGAUAAUUUUUUUUGACCAAAUUAUAUUUUUGACUUAAUUAUUUAGCAGUUUACGAGAUGAGAGUGAAGAAGAACAAAACAAAUAUGAUCAUGGCUUUUACAUGACAAAAAAAAAACAGUGGUUCGUGUAUGAAAGAACCUAAAAGUUACUGAUUCUAUCACAGAGUUUAAGAAUUCACUCGUAAAGUCUAAAACAAAAUUCUAAAAUAGUCUAUUGGGUAGAUACGUAAGGUCUAAGAAAGUUUAAGCACGUAAAAUGACUUUAGUUUCUUUAAAAGAAUUAUAAAAGAACAAAAGUUUCUUUAAUUAUUUACCUAAUUUUAUCCUCAUUUAGUGCAACUAGACAUUAUAAAAAAAUUAUAUGAUUGGCCAAAAUGAAUAAGAUCAUCUUUAUCGGAGUAUUUAGGAGGAUUUUUAGAGGAAAAGAUGGGAUUGGUCCUACAAAAUGAGAAGAAAGGUAGUUUCCUGUCGCUAAAUAAGAGAUUUUGUUAUGGGUUUUUUCCACUGUUUUACGGGCUCCAUAACACGUGGCGGCCCGUGAUUGGUUCUUUUAAAAAAAAAAAACAGAUAAAACAAAAAAAAAAAAAUUUAAGAAACGGAACUGGGUUUCUGCGAUGCUGAUGCUCUAAGAAGGGCUGUACACACUAAACAGUGAACACCAUAGGACAACACAAUAACUACUCAACCGAAAAAGCUGCACCUACGUCCAAAUUUCAUUGACAUAUACUCUCUCCGUUCCUAAAUAUAAGAUGUUUAGGUAAAAACACGAAUAUAAAAAAAAUCAUUUUUUGUCUAGAAAGUAUCAUUAAAAUCAUAAAUUAAUGUUAUUCAUCCAAUUACAAAAUAGAUUAUCAAAUAUAAGAGAAUACUAGAGGGGUUCUUAGCGUGUGGGUCCCGCGUAGGACCCUUUUUUUUUUAAGAAACCGGUUACCAAAACUACCAAAUAGUAGUCGGUCCUUAAGGGUUUUUUACACUGUUCGCGGGCCCCACUGACACGUGGCGGUCCGCGAUUGGUUCGUUUUUAAUUUUUUUUUUCUAAAUUCGAAAAAAUAAAAAAAAAAAAUUAAGAAACCCUAAAUGGGAUAAUGAUGCUCUAAUUGGUUACACAGUUUUUAAUAAAUAAAAAAUUACCUAGAAAAAUAAAAAACAUCUUAUAUAUUAGAACAUCAAAAUUCUUUAAAACAUCUUAUGUUUAAUAACUGAUGGAGUAAUUAUAUACUCAUAAUGUCGUGAAUAACGUAUUUAUUGAGUUAGACAUCAGUAAUAAAAAGAUACGAAAAUAACAUAUCAUACAAAAAAGAGGAAGAUAGGUGACGGAAAUAACCUUGCAAAUUGACAUGAAAUCGUGGUCCGUCUUACUAUCGCCAAGCCCCAAAUCAGGUAAACCGGACGCAACGCCACCGAACUCUCUCAAAAUGGCGUCGCGUUUGUGUUGACCAACGAGAACACCUGGUCUUCUAACAAAACCGGUUGCACGACCCGAUUUGGAGACUUCGAGUUCCGUUCCAAGAACUUUAUUGACUCCUAGGUAUGUCUUCACGAACGGCUCAACCAUGACCCGUGGACUAGCUGUUACUAUAUACCGCUUCCCGAAGGUGUUGAAGAUACUCCACGCGUCAGGUCUCACGUCCUCCGCGUAAAACCUCGGUAGGACGGAACGGACCACGAGCUCAACGUCUCGGAUCUUGAGACCAGCGAAGGUGAUAAAGAUGAAAAUGUUGAUGGCUAGUGUCUCGGAGACGGAGAGGUACGUGAGGUAGACGAAUGGUACGGACGCAAGUAGGAUCAAAGCGCGGAGCAAGCUCCCUGCUUCGAGGGCCACGAGGAAAUAGUAAGGAAAUGCGCUACGAGAGAUUAGUAACGUCCCAUCGAGAUCAGCAGUCACGGUUUGGUUCGACCGGUCCUUAAUCUCAUAGCUUGUUAUUGGCUGGAAACGACGCCGCUUCUCCUGAGCCCCCAUCAGACAAGAAGAGAAGAGAGAGAGAGGUGGGAAAUUUGGAAGGUGAGAAUGAGUAUGGAUUGGUGAAUACUUUUUAGGAGUGUUGUUUAUAUAGUGAGAAGCGAAAGAGAAUGGGCAUGAUUUUGUUGUUGAGGUGGUUGAUAUUAGUAUACCAAAGAAAUAUAUGCUUUUGAUUUUUCAACGGUUAGAGAAAGAAAAAGAACAGACUGUGUAUAAUAGAUAACAAUAUCAGUAUGACUACUGCCGUUACAUAAAUUAAUUAGUCGAUCUUCCGAAUACGCAAGGAAGUGAUUUGAAUAAAAUAAUAGCCAAAAUGUGGAUAUCAAAUUUUGAUUAAUUAGGGAAGAUAGUUAAUUGCGAAGAAUGAGUGGUUUGAGACGUGUGAAAUAGAAUGAGAGUUAAAGUUGGUGAAGACCGAAACCAAUCUAUUGAUUAUCCAAACAACUAUGGAGAAUUUUUUAUGUUCUUGAAGGCCUACGCGCCGCCGGUUUAUAGUUAGAGGCUUUGAUCUCCAUCUUUGCCUCUUAUUGUUUAAGUUUGUUUUUGGUAUGCUGUGAGUGUCAGUCUCUACCAUGUUUUAUCAAUGAGUCUGAUUGUGGUUACCUGCGGUUUCUUGUGGCCUCUGGAAGUUCCUGGUUCAGCUAUGUAUAUUGCAAGUACACAACGUAUCAUUUUUGCUCAGAUUUUCUCAUUUUAGUUCAGUUCUUUUGAAUUGUUUUGAACUUUGUAUUUUAGUUAUGUUAUGAUCGUCUACCUGAAUUUUAAUUGAAAUUUGGUUCAAAAAUACAACAUGCAUUAUUUGUUUCUAAGAGAAAAGAUGGUAGGUGAUGAAAUUGAAUUGCAAAAUAAAAGAAAUAGAUUAGCAUUAAUAUAUAUAUUUGUAUAUAGUAGGUCUUUCACGGAGAUUUCAGUUCUUUUUUUUUCCGCCAAGUUUUUUAAUAUUAAUAAAACGGGAUCAAGCCCAACUACACGGCCCGAGGCCCAACAAGACAAACAUCAAGAAGUCCAAAACCCUACGGGGCAAAUAAGAUAAGUUAAAGGGUCUGCGGCCCAAAACAAAAGAAACCGGACGACUUCGGUAGACCCACGCGUCAAGGAGGCCGGACACGUGUAAGCAUAAAACACCAUCAGGACGACACGCGUCGCUUCCGCCUCAACUUGACCGUCACCGCCUCGAAACGUCGCCGGAGCUACCACCGCAAACCUUGAGCUCAGAUUACCGGAGAGCCUCCAUCGAAACCAUAUCUCUUCACUUCCACGCUUUGUCUUCACUUCGGAGAGCUUCAUCGAUCCAGUCGAGAGCUCAUCCGACUGAACAAAGCCGUGAACCACGAACCCAGAACCAAGACAAGCCACAAGCGGGAUCCAAAACCGAUCCAACGAACUGAAACACCUAAAGCCGGCGACGCAAGACUGAGAGAGCCUUCAUCCCCCGGAGACAAAACCGACGACGGCGAAACUGAAGAAGCCUGCACCUCCCGGAGACAAGGGCCGGCGGCGACGGAGCUGUAGGAGCCUAUAUUUGUAUAACAUGCUUAAGAUGAGCUUAAUGUAAAACAGAUUUUUGGGUCAGAAUUAAUUUACAUUCGAUUAAAAAGACAAUAUUAUAUACAAUCAAGCAAAUGAUCACACCAAGGUUUUCUUUCUUAAAUCGUUAUUAUACUAAAAGUAAAACUUGAAAAUAUCACGAAAAAACUUGCAAAGAAACAAUUAUCGAAGCAUAGAAGACAAAUAAAUUAACAAACUUACCAAUUCUUGCUAAAUGAAAAAAAAAAGAUUUAAAUAUUUGUAUUAUUUCUUCAUCAUCUCUUUCCUCCAAUCAAAUAUAAUCAUAUCUUCUCCUUCUUCACCGGAACCCUACCGUCGGUACCAGCUAGCAUUGCGUACUUAUCCUUUCUUGUAAAGUUGGUGCACUCAAACCCUAAGGUUCCUGCUAAAACCCUCUGUAUGUAAUUCGCCACCUCUAUCGGCGACUUGCCUCCUUUACACGUCAGCUCAGCCGGAAGCUGUUUAAGGAACGUGAUCUCGAACGUCGGAACGGGGUUCAUGAACGCGAAGUAAGGAUCAAGAAACUUGUAGCCACGUGUAGUUGUACCAUUAAACACGCUUUGUUUUGUAUUAAUCGCCACGGGAACGAUCCUGUCAGUAAGCUCGGCAAAGAGUGCACUAAACCGGAGAAGGAAAGGUUCACGGCAAGUGGUUCCCUCGGGACAAAUCACGAGAUCACCUUCCUCUAAGAGACGCUUGAUGUUCGCUGCGUCUUUCUCGCGCUGACGAGUCAACGCAACGGCUUUUAUUGGAGAGAUUAGCUCAGAGAAUUUGCUGAUACUGUACGUGACGCAGCUAAUUUUCCGACCGAGCGCGACAGCUGUCACCACGGGGUCGAGGACAGUCCGGUGGUUGCAGACCAAGAGGUGGCCUGGUUGGCCGGGUUUAGGUGGCGGAGGAGGGUUGCCGUUGACGAUUAGUUUGAUCCCUGUGAGCUUGUAGUUGUAACGGGCGAUGCGUUCCGGUAACGGAAUAUUCGUGUAGACGCGGAUGAGAGAGACUAGAAAACCGACGGGAAGCCAGAGGAUAGUUAACAAUGCAACUAACGGAGUUGGUCGUUGGACUAAUCUGCCCUCGUGGAAUAUUAUAGGGUUUAAGAGUUUAUUUCUUGGUAAUGGUUCGCAUUUUGUACGUGGCACCAUGUAACCCUCCUGCAGUCAAUUAAAAAAAUUGUUAUUAUAUUAACUGAAGCUGAAAAGUAGUUGUGAUUUGUACGUAAUUGUCUGGUAGCAUGCACUUUUGAUUUUUUUUGGGUCGAAUUAUAUGAUGCGACACCAUAGUACUCAUGAGAGAGACAUGUGUACUAUCAAAAUUAUUAGUGAUUAGAUAAACAUAUGUACUAUCAAAAUUAUUAGUGAUUAGAAAAACAUGUAAUACAUAUUACAUGUGUACGUAAUUUAUAUAAUUACCUAGGAUAAAUUUUUUUUGACUAAAUUAUAUUUUUGACUUAAUUACUUAGCAGUUUACGUUAUGAGAGUGAAGAAGAACAAAACAAAUAUGAUCAUGGCUUUUACAUGACAAAAAAAAAAACAGUGGUUCGUGUAUGAAAGUACCUAAAGUUACUGAUUCUAUCACAGAGUUUAAGAGUUCACUCGUAAGGUCUAAAACAAAUUUCUAAAAUAGUCUAUUGGGUAGAUAAGAAAGUUUAAGCACGUAAAAUGACUUUGGCCUUAUACGUAAAACCCCACCUAUUUUAUUUUCUUACAAGUAGUUUCUUUAGUUUUUUUUUUUUUGCACACUAGACAUUAUAAAAAGAACAAAAGUUUCUUUAGUUAUUUACCUAAUUUUAUCCUCAUUUAGUGCCACUAGACAUUAUAAAAAUAUUAUAUGAUUGGCCAAAAUGAAUAAGAAGGGCUGUACACACUAAACAGUGAACACCAUAGGACAACACAAUAACUACUCAACCAAAAAAGCUGCACGUACGUCCAAGUUUCAUAGACAUAUAGUUAUAUACUCAUAAUGUCGUGAAAAGUAUUUAUAGAGUUAGAUAGCAGUAAUAAAAAAAUACGAAAAUAACAUAUCAUACAAAAAAAUAAGAAGAUAAGUGACGGAAAUAACCUUGCAAAUUGACAUGAAAUCGUGGUCUGUCUUACUAUCGCCAAGCCCCAAAUCAGGUAAACCAGACGCAACGCCACCGAACUCUCUCAAAAUGGCGUCGCAUUUGUGUUGACCAACGAGAACACCUGGUCUUCUAACAAAACCAGUUGCACGACCCGAUUUGGACACUUCGAGUUCCGUUCCAAGAACUUUAUCGACUCCUAGGUAUGUCUUCACGAACGGCUCAACCAUGAUCCGUGGACUAGCUGUUACUAUGCACCGCUUCCCGAACGUGUUGAAGAUACUCCACGCGUCAGGUCUCACGUCCUCCGCGUAAAACCUCGGUAGGACGGAACGGACCACGAGCUCAACGUCUCGGAUCUUGAGACCAGCGAAGGUGAUAAAGAUGAAAAUGUUGAUGGCUAGUGUCUCGGAGACGGAGAGGUACGUGAGGUAGACGAAUGGUACGGACGCAAGUAGGAUCAAAGCGCGGAGCAAGCUCCCUGCUUCGAGGGCCACGAGGAAAUAGUAAGGAAAUGCGCUACGAGAGAUUAGUAACGUCCCAUCGAGAUCAGCAGUCACGGUUUGGUUCGACCGGUCCUUAAUCUCAUAGCUUGUUAUUGGCUGGAAACGACGCCGCUUCUCCUGAGCCCCCAUCAGACAAGAAGAGAAGAGAGAGAGAGGUGGGAAAUUUGGAAGGUGAGAAUGAGUAUGGAUUGGUGAAUACUUUUUAGGAGUGUUGUUUAUAUAGUGAGAAGCGAAAGAGAAUGGGCAUGAUUUUGUUGUUGAGGUGGUUGAUAUUAGUAUACCAAAGAAAUAUAUGCUUUUGAUUUUUCAACGGUUAGAGAAAGAAAAAGAACAGACUGUGUAUAAUAGAUAACAAUAUCAGUAUGACUACUGCCGUUACAUAAAUUAAUUAGUCGAUCUUCCGAAUACGCAAGGAAGUGAUUUGAAUAAAAUAAUAGCCAAAAUGUGGAUAUCAAUUUUUGAUUAAUUAGGGAAGAUAGUUAAUUGCGAAGAAUGAGUGGUUUGAGACGUGUGAAAUAGAAUGAGAGUUAAAGUUGGUGAAGACCGAAACCAAUCUAUUGAUUAUCAAAACAACUAUGGAGAAUUUUUUAUGUUCUUGAAGGCCUACGCGCCGCCGGUUUAUAGUUAGAGGCUUUGAUCUCCAUCUUUGCCUCUUAUUAUUUAAGUUUGUUUUUGGUAUGCUGUGAGUGUCAGUCUCUACCAUGUUUUAUCAAUGAGUCUGAUUGUGGUUACCUGCGGUUUCUUGUGGCCUCUGGAAGUUCCUGGUUCAGCUAUGUAUAUUGCAAGUACACAACGUAUCAUUUUUGCUCAGAUUUUCUCAUUUUAGUUCAGUUCUUUUGAAUUGUUUUGAACUUUGUAUUUUAGUUAUGUUAUGAUCGUCUACCUGAAUUUUAAUUGAAAUUUGGUUCAAAAAUACAACAUGCAUUAUUUGUUUCUAAGAGAAAAGAUGGUAGGUGAUGAAAUUGAAUUGCAAAAUAAAAGAAAUAGAUUAGCAUUAAUAUAUAUAUUUGUAUAUAGUAGGUCUUUCACGGAGAUUUCAGUUCUUUUUUUUUCCGCCAAGUUUUUUAAUAUUAAUAAAACGGGAUCAAGCCCAACUACACGGCCCGAGGCCCAACAAGACAAACAUCAAGAAGUCCAAAACCCUACGGGGCAAAUAAGAUAAGUUAAAGGGUCUGCGGCCCAAAACAAAAGAAACCGGACGACUUCGGUAGACCCACGCGACAAGGAGGCCGGACACGUGUAAGCAUAAAACACCAUCAGGACGACACGCGUCGCUUCCGCCUCAACUUGACCGUCACCGCCUCGAAACGUCGCCGGAGCUACCACCGCAAACCUUGAGCUCAGAUUACCGGAGAGCCUCCAUCGAAACCAUAUCUCUUCACUUCCACGCUUUGUCUUCACUUCGGAGAGCUUCAUCGAUCCAGUCGAGAGCUCAUCCGACUGAACAAAGCCGUGAACCACGAACCCAGAACCAAGACAAGCCACAAGCGGGAUCCAAAACCGAUCCAACGAACUGAAACACCUAAAGCCGGCGACGCAAGACUGAGAGAGCCUUCAUCCCCCGGAGACAAAACCGACGACGGCGAAACUGAAGAAGCCUGCACCUCCCGGAGACAAGGGCCGGCGGCGACGGAGCUGUAGGAGCCUUCACCUCCCGGAAACGAAACAUCAAAAGGCAAAACGACUAGCUUCACCGCGCCUAACCUCCACACGACCGCGCCUUUAAUCCAGAAGCAGAUCCGCCGGGGAUGGGACCAGAACCAGAGCUCAGACAAGCCGGAGGACAGAGGAAACGAAAGAGAAGCGAAAGGCCAACAUCUUUACGGUUGCUCGAGGGGUUCCGGCGACGGCAUGCACACUCACGCGCCGGCCGCUCGUCGGAUCCAAUCUUAGAUCUACUUUCUCUCUCUACUCUCUCCUGAAAAUUUCAGUUCUGUCAUAUUGAUUUUAUGGAAGUCACUAAAAAUCCACUAAAAAUAAAUAGUUUUUCUUGUCAACACUGUCACGUGAUCUAUACACGUCAGUUCCUUAAUAUUAGGAAAAUUGCAUGGAAUAACCAUAAAAAAACUAUAAUCCAUUCUAUGGACAUAGCAUCACAAGUGCUAUGAUAUGUUGUUAUAUAUGAAUGGUAUUUUGGACGAAAAUAUCUUUAUGUUAUUUUCACGCUCAGAUGCUUGAUUCACAUGUGUUUUAGUCGGUGAUGUAAACUUUCAACACCAAUAGAGAGAUCGUCGGAGCUCGUCGGAGUUUAAUGUCAAUGAUUAUUGUACAAUGUGUGCUUCAAUAAAUGUAGAAAGUAUGUGUAAGUGCAAAAUCUAAAACAAAUCACAAAUAAGAAUAAGAAGAAGAAGAAAGGAUUGGAAAUCGCGAAGGUACAAGAUACGAGUUAUUAACAUGGAGUGAAUUGGAGAAGAUGAACAAUAUUCACGAUAUAAUCUAUUCUAUACUUUUGGUUUGUAAUAAAUAGAAUAGAAACCAUACU